rnacentral:rRNA from 1 species
GGUGGAGCGAUCUGUCUGGUUAAUUCCGAUAACGAACGAGACUCUCCCCUGCUAACUAGUCGGUUGGAUCUUGAUACUUCUUGAGUAAUGCUGACCCCGGUGGUGUCGUCUCAUGGUUGUGCGCGGAAGGGAAGGUCGCUUGUGCGUUGGUGGCCUCGUGUCGCUGCGUGCUUGUGUCUCUUUGCCUCUCCCGUACUCCUGAGCGCCCUCGGGUAAUGCACACUCCAAGUCCGCCGCUUUUGCUGUAAGUCUUCUUAGAGGGAUACACGGCUCUGAAGCCGUAAGAGACUGAGAGCAAUAACAGGUCUGUGAUGCCCUUAGAUGCUCUGGGCCGCACGCGCGCUACAAUGCCGGGCACAGCAGGUGUUUGUCCUUCUCCGAGAGGAGCGGGCAACCCUCUGAAAGCCCUUCUCUCUCAUGGUAUUUGUCGAGUCGUCGCUCUUGCGUCCUUCUGGGCGUGAGUUGUGGCGGUUCGCUUGGCGUGCUUGGGCCUGGAGCUUGCAAUUUUUCUCCACAAACGAGGAAUGCCUAGUAGCGGUGGGUCACUGAGCCCACCGUGACUCAGUCCCUGCCCUUUGUACACACCGCCCGUCGCUACUACCGAUUGGGUGUACCAGUGAGAGCCUUGGACUGGCGGCCGUUGCCCUUCGGGUAAGCGGUUUCGACUGAAAGAGGUUCGAACUGGUGCACUUAGAGGAAGUAAAAGUCGUAACAAGGUUUCCGUAGGUGAACCUGCGGAAGGAUCAUUA